rnacentral:tRNA from 1 species
GCCGGAGUAGCUCAGCUGGUAGAGCAAGGGUUUUGUAAGCCCUGUGUCGUGGGUUCGAGUCCCGCCUCCGGCU